CGUUUGGAAAGAUUUUUCGGUUGGGGAUGGGCUCGCGGCCUAUCAGCUUGUUGGUGAGGUAAUGGCUCACCAAGGCGUCGACGGGUAGCCGGCCUGAGAGGGUGACCGGCCACACUGGGACUGAGACACGGCCCAGACUCCUACGGGAGGCAGCAGUGGGGAAUAUUGCACAAUGGGCGAAAGCCUGAUGCAGCAACGCCGCGUGAGGGAUGACGGCCUUCGGGUUGUAAACCUCUUUUAGCAGGGAAGAAGCGAAAGUGACGGUACCUGCAGAAAAAGCGCCGGCUAACUACGUGCCAGCAGCCGCGGUAAUACGUAGGGCGCAAGCGUUAUCCGGAAUUAUUGGGCGUAAAGAGCUCGUAGGCGGUUUGUCGCGUCUGCUGUGAAAUCCCGAGGCUCAACCUCGGGCCUGCAGUGGGUACGGGCAGACUAGAGUGCGGUAGGGGAGAUUGGAAUUCCUGGUGUAGCGGUGGAAUGCGCAGAUAUCAGGAGGAACACCGAUGGCGAAGGCAGAUCUCUGGGCCGUAACUGACGCUGAGGAGCGAAAGGGUGGGGAGCAAACAGGCUUAGAUACCCUGGUAGUCCACCCCGUAAACGUUGGGAACUAGUUGUGGGGUCCAUUCCACGGAUUCCGUGACGCAGCUAACGCAUUAAGUUCCCCGCCCU
rnacentral:rRNA from 1 species